AGCAAGAUUGCCUUCCCUUCAGUGCAAGACUUAACUACUUCCCAAUACAACAAAAAAUGCAAAUGAGAAGUGGGAAGCGCCUCACUCUGAAAUCAAGGAGAGCUUGCCGUCAGGCUCCAACUCAUGGGAAGAGAAGGGGGUAGAGGGGAGAAUAAAAACCGUGUGCAAAAUAUAUUCAGAUCUGUUAACUAAUAAAGGCUAAACCAUAACUGCCCCUUGUUUUAUCUGAAAUGUUUAAAAGGGUACAAAACCCUAACAUUUUUAUGUAAAAACAAUUAAUUUUUUUUCCGGCUGGUGAAUUUGUAGUGGAAACUACAAAGAUAACAUUGCUUAAAAGGACGCUGCAAUUUGAAAUUUCUUUCAUAACUUUUCCAAAAUGGGUUUUUCUGUCUCUUCUGAUCAUAGCCAAGGAUGUGUCCCACUGGAGAACCAGAUAAAAAGACAUCAGAAAAGAGACCUUUGUCUCAUUGGG